CAAAGGCAUGGUCCCAACCUUAUUAUCAGCUCUAACUCAACUUACACAUGCAAGUCUCCGCAGUCCAGUGAAUAUGCCCUCAAUCCCCUGCCCGGGGACGAGGAGCGGGCAUCAGGCACAAACAUUAGCCCAAGACGCCUAGCCAAGCCACACCCCCAAGGGAAUUCAGCAGUGAUAAACAUUAAACCAUAAGUGAAAACUUGACUUAGUUAGUGUUAAAAGGGCCGGUAAAACUCGUGCCAGCCACCGCGGUUAGACGAGAGACCCUAGUUGAUAUUACAACGGCGUAAAGGGUGGUUAAGGAUAAAUAAAAAUAAAGCCAAAUGGCCCCUCGGCCGUCACACGCUUCUGGACGUCUGAAGCCCUAAUACGAAAGUAGCUUUAAUAAACCAACCUGAACCCACGAAAGCUGAGAAACAAACUGGGAUUAGAUACCCCACUAUGCUCAGCCAUAAACUCAGACAUCUAACUACAAUCAGAUGUCCGCCAGGGUAUUACGAGCAUCAGCUUAAAACCCAAAGGACCUGACGGUGUCUCAGACCCCCCUAGAGGAGCCUGUUCUAGAACCGAUAACCCCCGUUCAACCUCACCACUUUUAGCCACCCCAGCCUAUAUACCGCCGUCGUCAGCUUACCCUGUGAAGGGAAAAAAGUAAGCAAAAUGGGUACAACCCAGAACGUCAGGUCGAGGUGUAGCGCAUGAAGUGGAAAGAAAUGGGCUACAUUUUCUACUUACAGAAUACCACGAACGUAUGCCAUGAAACAGCAACUGAAGGAGGAUUUAGUAGUAAAAGGGAAACAGAGUGUCCCUUUGAACCCGGCUCUGAGACGCGUACACACCGCCCGUCACUCUCCCUCACAACAUCGAACCAAACAAUACUUAAUACGAAAGAACAAACAAGGGGAGGCAAGUCGUAACACGGUAAGUGUACCGGAAGGUGCACUUGGACCAAACC
rnacentral:ncRNA from 1 species